AUUGAACGCUGGCGGCAGGCCUAACACAUGCAAGUCGAACGAGUGGCGGACGGGUGAGUAAUGUCGGGAAAAUAGCCUGAUGGAGGGGGAUAACUACUGGAAACGGUAGCUAAUACCGCAUACCAUUGGAUGUGCCCAGAUGGGAUUAGCUAGUAGGUUGGGUAAAGGCUCACCUAGGCGACGAGCCCUAGCUGGUCUGAGAGGAUGACCAGCCACACUGGAACUGAGACACGGUCCAGACUCCUACGGGAGGCAGCAGUGGGGAAUAUUGCGCAAUGGGCGCAAGCCUGAUGAAGCCAUGCCGCGUGUAUGAAGAAGGCCUUCGGGUUGUAAAGUACUUUCAGCGGGGAGGCGUUACCCGCAGAAGAAGCACCGGCUAACUCCGUGCCAGCAGCCGCGGUAAUAC
rnacentral:rRNA from 1 species